rnacentral:rRNA from 1 species
UACUACCGAAGCUACGGCAUCAGUAAUGAUGGGUAGGGGAGCUUCCCAUACGGGUUGAAGCAUGACCGUAAGGACAUGUGGACAGUAUGGGAGUGAGAAUGUUGGCAUGAGUAGCGAGAUGUGGGUGAGAAUCCCACAGGCCGUAAACCCAAGGUUUCCAGGGGAAGGUUCGUCCGCCCUGGGUUAGUCGGGACCUAAGCUGAGGCCGAAAGGCGUAGGUGAUGGACAACAGGUUGAUAUUCCUGUACUACCGAUAACCGUUUGAGAGAAGGGAUGACACAGUAGGAUAAGCUAAGCACCCUGUUGGUUAUGUGUGCCCAAGCAUUGAGGCAG